ensembl:lncRNA
GUCAGUUCCAGAUCCCCAGGUCCGUGCCUUGCAACACGUUCAUCUAGAAAAGCAACAUCUAAAUUUAGUGCCCUACUGAAACCUAUGGCCAAAUACACAAGACCAUACAGAGGUUCAGAAAACUAUUUAUCACCACUAAGAAUCUGCCGGUAAUUCCAGCAUUAGUUCGAAAUUUCAUCACAACAUUGGCCUGUACAAUGUUACAGAACCCAUGAUUCCACUCACCCCAGUUCCACUCUAGUCCAUCUGCAGAAACGCCAAUAACAAACAUUAAUUCCACCUUGAAGAAAAAAAAAAAAAUACACCCAAUUAUGGAAGGAAAGAACAAACAGACUGAGAAAGAUCAUUUCUGUAGUCUCAGAAAUAUUGAAAAGAACUAUCGUCAGUGAUCGCAUAGGACGGCACUUCCUGUUUCAUCAUUGACAACACGGCCACACCCAAGAGGAGAAAGAAGUCCUGCUCACCAUGAGAACAUCUGAAGGAUCACUAGUAGGUCACCAGGUCCAGAGUCCAACACAUCCAUCUAGAAGGAACAUGUACAAUUAGUACCCUACAGAAACCCAUGGACCAAUACAAGUCACCAUGUGGAGGUUCAGAAAACUAUUUAUCACCACUAAACAAUCUGCCGGUAAUUCCAGCAUUAGUUUAAGAUUUCAUCACAACAUCGAUGGGCCACACAUCAAACUGUUAACGAGUCUACACACCUGGGCAGAGAAUCAUCCGGGCCGUUGCACCAAAUCCUGGGCCCCUAUACAAGUGGUAAUGAUGGCCGCCCCUGCGCUGAAUUGAUGGGAGGGGGGGUAGGAAGCAAUUGCUGACGGGGGGUGACGUGGCCGUGUGUGACUCCUAACACUGAGCUGGUAGAUUUUUUUUUUUUUUAUUGCUAUGGGCUUCCCCUCUGCCUUGGGGCCCCCCCACAACUGUCUACCUUUCCCCCGCAGUCCGUCGGCCCUGUCCAUAUGGCAGAACCUUUUCCACCUUAAAGAGAAGGAACCCAGUUAGAGAAGGGAAAGACCAAACAUGCUGAGCAAGAUACAUUCUGUAGUCUCAGAAAUAAUGAAAAGAACUAUCGUCAGUGAUCGCAUAGGACGGCACUUCCUGUUUCAUCAUUGACAACAUGGCCAAAACCCAAGAUGAGAAAUAAAUCCUGCUCACCAUGAAGAACCUCCAGCAUCACUAGCAUGUCACCAGGUCAGAGUGCAACACGUCCAUCUAGAAGGAAGAUCUACAAUUAUUACCCCACAGAAACACAUGGCCCAAUACAUAUGAAGAUGUAGAGGUUCAGAAAACUAUUUAUCACCACUAAACAAUCUGCCGGUAAUUCCAGCAUUAGUUUAAGAUUUCAUCACAACAGCCGGUAAUCCUUGGCGAACACGAUUCAUGAUU